UACAGAGGUCUCAAGCGUUGUUCGGAAUCACUGGGCGUAAAGGGUGCGUAGGCCGCACGGAAAGUCAGAGGUGAAAUCCCGGAGCUCAACUCCGGAAUUGCCUCCGAUACUCCCGUGCUUGAGGACUGGAGAGGAGUCUGGAAUUCACAGUGGAGCAGUGAAAUGCGUAGAUAUUGUGAGGAACACUAGUGGCGAAGGCGAGACUCUGGACAGUUCCUGACGCUAAGGCACGAAGGCCAGGGGAGCAAACGGG
rnacentral:rRNA from 1 species